rnacentral:rRNA from 1 species
AGAAUCAACGCUGGCGGCGUGCCUAACACAUGCAAGUCGAACGAGAAAGUGGUAGCAAUACCAUGAGUAAAGUGGCGCACGGGUGAGUAACACGUGACUAACCUACCCUGGAGUGGGGAAUAACUGGGAGAAAUCCUAGCUAAUACCGCAUAACACCUACGGGUCAAAGGAGCAAUUCGCUUCAGGAGGGGGUCGCGGCCGAUUAGUUAGUUGGCGGGGUAAUGGCCCACCAAGACGAUGAUCGGUA